rnacentral:rRNA from 1 species
ACAGCAGUCGCCGCGGUAAUACGAAGGGUGCAAGCGUUAAUCGGAAUUAUUGGGCGUAAAGCGUGCGUAGGCGGUGAGUUAAGUCUGCUGUGAAAUCCCCGGGCUCAACCUGGGAAUGGCAGUGGAUACUGGCUCGCUAGAGUGUGUCAGAGGAUGGUGGAAUUCCCGGUGUAGCGGUGAAAUGCGUAGAGAUCGGGAGGAACAUCAGUGGCGAAGGCGGCCAUCUGGGACAACACUGACGCUGAGGCACGAAAGCGUGGGGAGCAAACAGGAUUAGAUACCCCGGUAGUCCCUGUCUCUUAUAC